rnacentral:rRNA from 1 species
GAUGAACGCUGGCGGCGUGCCUAAUACAUGCAAGUCGAGCGAACGGACGAGAAGCUUGCUUCUCUGAUGUUAGCGGCGGACGGGUGAGUAACACGUGGAUAACCUACCUAUAAGACUGGGAUAACUUCGGGAAACCGGAGCUAAUACCGGAUGAUAUUUUGAACCGCAUGGUUCAAAAGUGAAAGACGGUCUUGCUGUCACUUAUAGAUGGAUCCGCGCUGCAUUAGCUAGUUGGUAAGGUAACGGCUUAACAAGGCAACGAUGCAUAGCCGACCUGAGAGGGUGAUCGGCCACACUGGAACUGAGACAGGGUCCAGACUCCGACGGGGGGCAGCAGUAGGGAAUCUUCCGCAAUGGGGGAAAGCCUGACGGAGGAACGCCGCGUGAGUGAUGAAGGUCUUCGGAUCGUAAAACUCUGUUAGUAGGGAAGAACAUAUGUGUAAGUAACUGUGCACAUCUUGACGGUACCUAAUCAGAAAGCCACGGCUAACUACGUG